rnacentral:sRNA from 1 species
AUGUACCACUCGUACACUGCGGUUCCUGCGCGCCGUCCGCGCCCACCUGACGGCUGCUCGCAAGGGCCUGGUGUUGAAGACC